GACGAACGCUGGCGGCGUGCUUAACACAUGCAAGUCGAACGGAAAGGCCCUGCUUUUGUGGGGUGCUCGAGUGGCGAACGGGUGAGUAACACGUGAGUAACCUGCCCUUGACUUUGGGAUAACUUCAGGAAACUGGGGCUAAUACCGGAUAGGAGCUCCUGCUGCAUGGUGGGGGUUGGAAAGUUUCGGCGGUUGGGGAUGGACUCGCGGCUUAUCAGCUUGUUGGUGGGGUAGUGGCUUACCAAGGCAUUGACGGGUAGCCGGCCUGGGAGGGUGACCGGCCACAUUGGGACUGAGAUACGGCCCAGACUGCUACGGGAGGCAGCAGUGGGGAAUAUUGCACAGUGGGCGGAAGCCUGAUGCAGCAACGCCGCGUGCGGGAUGACGGCCUUCGGGUUGUAAACCGCUUUCGCCUGUGACGAAGCGUGAGUGACGGUAAUGGGUAAAGAAGCACCGGCUAACUACGUG
rnacentral:rRNA from 1 species